rnacentral:rRNA from 1 species
UACGUAGGGGGCAAGCGUUGUCCGGAAUUAUUGGGCGUAAAGGGCGCGUAGGCGGGUACUUAAGUCCGGUGUGAAAGAUCAGGGCUCAACCCUGAGAGUGCAUCGGAAACUGGGUAUCUUGAGGACAGGAGAGGAAAGUGGAAUUCCACGUGUAGCGGUGAAAUGCGUAGAUAUGUGGAGGAACACCAGUGGCGAAGGCGACUUUCUGGACUGUAACUGACGCUGAGGCGCGAAAGCGUGGGGAGCAAACAGG